UAGCAAGUCGACCAAAGGCGAAAGCAGUCAUCAAGGGCACUCCCUUUGAUCAAGAGCGAAAGUUAAGGGUUCGAAAAUGAUCAGAUACCGUUGUAGUCUUAACUAUAAAUGAUGCAAACCAGGGAUAGGACACUGUCCAUCUCGACUCCUCCUGAACCUUGGAGAAAUCAGAGUCUUUGGGUUCUGGGGGGAGUAUGGUCGCAAGGCUGAAACUUAAAGGAAUUGACGGAAGGGCACACAAAGAGUGGAACCUGCGGCUUAAUUUGACUCAACACGGGAAAACUCACCAGGUCCGGAUACACGUAUGAAAGUCAAGCUGAAAGACUUUACUCAAUGAUGUAAGUGGUGGUGCAUGGUCGUAAACUACUUGCGACAGUGCCUGUAAAAGCAGGUGCUAGUGGGCCUCUGGGCGCUUUUGCGAGCCCUUAGGUUCUGCGACACUAUCAAAUUGCGGGGAAAUCCAGAGUGGGCAACGGUACCGCCUUAGCACCGAAAAGGUCUGGCUAGUGGCACCACAGGGAAACUUGUGGGUAUGGUAAGAACCCGUUGCCUUGGACUAUCCGCAGCCAAGCUCUAACCCCUCCUCGAUAAGACCACCGGCUCAAAAUGGCGAGCUGGACGGCUACAGGGGGGUAUGGGUGCAGUUCAACGACUAAAUGGUAGUGGGCGGGUUACUCCGCUUAAGAUAUAGUCUUGCCCCACCGGAAGGUGGUCUUAGGAUGAAAGGGAUCAGCAGUCCCCGGAGCCUAAGAGGGUACACUUCGGUGGACCUGGAUUUCCAGUCGUAGUUCGUGGAUUGAUUUGUCUGGUCUAUUCCGAUAACGAGCGAGACCCCAACGUUCCUAAUAGGGGUAGCAGCCCGGCCGGUCGCAAGACCGGUUAGCCGCUACCUGAGAUUCGCUUCUUAGACGUAUCAGAGCCGACAAGGUUCUUGAAAUGGGUUAAUAACAGGUCAGUCAUGCCCUUAGAUGUUCUGGGCCGCACGCGCGUUACAAUGGCAUGUAAAGCGAGUGCUGGCAAAAGGCGUUACCGGAGCUGAAGAGUUCUGGUAACCCAUAAUCCCUGCCUUGACUGGGAUAGAUCAUUGCAAUUAUUGGUCUCUAACGAGGAAUUUUUAGUAAUCGCAGGUCAUUAACCUGCGAUGAAUGCGUCCUGCCC
rnacentral:rRNA from 1 species